UACGAAGGGGGCUAGCGUUGCUCGGAAUCACUGGGCGUAAAGGGUGCGUAGGUGGCUUCAUAAGUCCGUUGUGAAAGUCAAAGGCUCAACCUUUGAAAGCCGAUGGAUACUGUGGAGCUAGAGUACGGAAGAGGCGAGUGGAAUUCCUGGUGUAGCGGUGGAAUGCGCAGAUAUCAGGAGGAACACCAAUAGCGAAGGCAGCUCGCUGGGACGUUACUGACACUGAGGCGCGAAAGCGUGGGGAGCGAACAGG
rnacentral:rRNA from 1 species